rnacentral:tRNA from 1 species
CAGUUAAAGUGGCAGAGACCGGUAAUUGCAUAAAACUUAAACCUUUAUUAUCAGAGGUUCAAAUCCUCUCUUUAACAAA